UGGGGAAUAUUGGGGCAAUGGGCGAAAGCCUGACCCAGCAACGCCGCGUGAGGGAAGAAGGGUUUCGGCUCGUAAACCUCUGUCCUAUGGGACGAAGGAAGUGACGGUACCAUAGGAGGAAGCCCCGGCUAACUACGUGCCAGCAGCCGCGGUAAUACGUAGGGGGCGAGCGUUGUCCGGAAUGAUUGGGCGUAAAGGGCGCGUAGGCGGCCCGUUAAGUCUGGAGUGAAAGUCCUGCUUUCAAGGUGGGAAUUGCUUUGGAUACUGAUGGGCUGGAGUGCAGGAGAGGAAAGCGGAAUUACCGG
rnacentral:rRNA from 1 species